rnacentral:rRNA from 1 species
AUUGAACGCGGGCGGCAUGCCUUACACAUGCAAGUCGAACGGUAACAGGUCUUCGGAUGCUGACGAGUGGCGAACGGGUGAGUAAUACAUCGGAACGUGCCCGAGAGUGGGGGAUAACGAGGCGAAAGCUUUGCUAAUACCGCAUACGAUCUCAGGAUGAAAGCAGGGAACCGCAAGGCCUUGUGCUCACGGAGCGGCCGAUGGCAGAUUAGGUAGUUGGUGGGAUAAAAGCUUACCAAGCCGACGAUCUGUAGCUGGUCUGAGAGGACGACCAGCCACACUGAGACUGAGACACGGCCCAGACUCCUACGGGAGGCAGCAGUGGGGAAUUUUGGACAAUGGGCGCAAGCCUGAUCCAGCCAUGCCGCGUGCAGGAUGAAGGCCUUCGAGUUGUAAACUGCUUUUGUACGGAACGAAAAGACUCCUUCUAAUAAAGGGGGUCCAUGACGGUACCGUAAGAAUAAGCACCGGCUAACUACGUGCCAGCAGCCGCCGUAACAC